UUUCCUGCCCCACCCAAGAGGAGGGGGAACAGAGCAGGGAGAGAAGAAGCUGCAGAGGAGACUGAGGAAAGAAGGAAGCAGGAUGGAGAGCCAGAAGGAGACCUGGAGGAGGCACGUGGAGCCGAGAGACACGUGAAGUGGCUGCGCUUGCCUUUUGGUCGUGGACUGGAUGAAACAGUUGUAGAGAUAUUUGGAAGAUGACUCUGAGGACCCUGAUCUUAAACUGCACUGAACAGAAGUAACCUCACCUUCCAGUCUGAAAAGUCACCAUGGACAUCCUCCAAACUCAGGCAGAAACCCUGAUCCAUAAGAAAGAAUAAGAGUAAUAA